AAUAUUAUUUGAUAUACUUCUUUACCGUUGUGGGGUAUCUCCAUAUUAACACGCCGGUUAUUGUGUGGAUUAAUGAAAACAGAUUAUUUUGUGAUAAACGGUAACUUGUGUAAAGGUUAUAUAAAUGAUGUUUUCUCUUUUAAAAAAUUACAGAACUCACGAAUUAUCAUUGCACUUAUUAUUAUUAUUGAGCAAAUUGAUUUACUGAGUGCAAUUCUUGAGAAGCUAAGCAGUUUAAUUUCUGGUAUUAUUUGAGGUGAUAUUCGGUAAGAAAUUAAUUGCUUAUUUUGUGCUACUUGAUCAUUGCAUAUAGUUGAGCCUUUAAUUGUUAAAUCGAUUAUUCUUGCAUUGAUCAUAGACCUCUAUAUUAUAUUGAUCUUUCUAUUGUUAGACUAAGUGUAGUCUAAAGGUUUUAAUCCUGGUGGAUUAGAAAAGUAGUUUACAAACAGGUUCAAGGAAGCAAAAGUGCUUGAAAGGUGCAUAAGUGCACAAAGAGCAAGAG
rnacentral:lncRNA from 1 species